UGCUGAUCCUCUCGCUCGUCAAGUGCGCGUCUGUCCGAAAAUUG
rnacentral:tRNA from 1 species